GUGGGGGAGGGGUGUGCAGAGCUGCUCAAUGGAUACAGAGUUUCAGUUUCAGAAGAUGAAAAAGUUCUAGAGAAUUCGCUACAGAACCAGCUGGAUGCCUCCCCACUUCCAACAAUACAAUGGUAUAAUAAAGAAGAAAGCGAGGAUGGAUAUGAAAUAGCAACGAGCAAUCUCCACAGAAGGCUGAGAGCUCUCCAGGCCCUCAAAGGAAAUGGUUCAAAUCCAGGAUGGACAGAAACCCUGGAAAGAAAUCCCACGUGUGCGAUACCCUGCCCAGCCUUCAGCGAUGACGCUGAUGGUGGCAAAGGGUCCUGGGGGCUUAAGGCAAGUGCUCUCAGCUGACAGUGACCCCAUCUGGGAAGCCCCGUGUCCUCUACCAAGGGGAGAGCAGGCUGGGACUUUGGUCCUGCUUGGAUGCCUUCUUCUAUGACUCAGCCACACUUAACUCUUUUUUUCCACUUGCCUGGGCCAGGGGACAUUAGAACCUUCAGGGAUCAGCGGUUCCAUGCCCGGGAGGAAUCUGAGGUGGACUGGGAAUGCAGAGGCCCACGGACUGGCCCUGUCAGGAGAAUCGCAGAUACUGACUUCAAUACCCUCUGCCCAGGCCCUCUGUCCCAGCCUUCCCCGCAACCAAGGCCAACCACCUUUCAGCCUUGGACUGCCUCCCAAAUGCCAUUCACGUGCUCUGAGCUCCUCUUAUCACCAAAGCACCAGUGCUGUGUCACCAGUCCCUCGUGCAGAGCCUGGUCUCUAGCACAGAAAGAGCCAGCAAGUGAAUGAGCAAAUAACCUGCCCCAGCUGGUCCCGGUGUGACAGCAACAUAAGUCACUCCACCGUGACCCUUCCCCAUGCCCACCUCCACCUCAGCAGCUGCUUCCUGGAGAACCUGGCCUGCUGAACAGGUACAUCCAGGUGACAAAGAAAUGGACACACACAUGGCCAUAAGAGGUGGAGUCUACUUCCUCAUCCCACUGAAACUGGGUGGGAGUUUGUGACUGCCUGCACGGACAGAAGGCAAUGCAAGUGUCACAUGUGGCUCCCCAGAAAAGUCUUGGCUAUUUCUUCAGAGAACAUUCAUCCAGUCUGGGAAACUUACUCCUUUUAUGAAUGAGGACACUGAUGUCCAGAGGAGCAGUGACUGGCCCAGGGUCUCAUGUUCCAUGGGCAGCAGAGCUAAUCCAGCACUCAGGCUCCAAGAACCCAGCUCUCCACCCCUGUCUAUGGCCCUAGCUGCCACCAGGUGGUUCAGACCCUGGAAAGGAUAGACUAUAGUCUUCACUGUCUCAACUCAUGAUUUAUCUAAGUCUACUGGCUGGUCUGGUCCCAGUCCCUCACGGGCAAAUGGCAGAUAUAGAGAAAUUAUCAGAAAGAGAGCCUGUGAGGGCUAGUGACUGGGACCUGGAGGAGAUGCUGCAGAAGAGUAUCUGACAUACAAUAAGGACUCCAUAAAUAUCUGUUGAGUUGAGUUGAAUUGAAUUGAAAUAAACACAAAAUAAAUAUGUAA